AAAAACCCCCUCUUUAGUUUCGUAGUUUCUCACUUUGCCCCCAUGUGGUUUAAAAUGUAUCAAAUUACUCUCCCGUGGUUUCGUUUUUAUCUUUUUGAUAGUUUUUUUUGUUAAUAUUUUAUUAAAUUAUAUACAAAAAUUUUUAGAUAUCUAUCUAGAUUUAUCAAAUAUUCACUUCAGUACCCUUUAAUUUUAACUUUAUCACUGAUUUAAGAAAAAAAAUAAUAAAAUUGAUUAGAAAAAGAAAAAAAAGAAACAACAGGGGGCAAAUUGAUACAUUUUAAACCGGGGGGGGGCAAAGUGAGAAACUACGAAACCACAAGGGGGAUUUUUGAAGUUUCCCUUUUUUUUUAAGGAAAAACUUCAAAAAACCUCCCGUUGUGGUUUCGUAGUUUCUCACUUUGUCCCCCUGUGAUUUAAAAUAUAUCAAAUUGUCCCCCUGUGAUUUCGUUUUUAUCUUUUCGGCAGCUUUUUUGUUAAUAUUUCAUUAAAUUAUAUACAAAAAAACUUCAGAUACCCAUCUAGAUUUAUCAAAUAUUCAUUUUAGUACCAUUUAAUUUUAACUUUAUCACUGAUUUAAAAAAUAAUAAUGAAAUUGAUAAAAAAAAAAGAGAAAAAAGAAACCACAGGAGGACAAAUUGAUACAUUUUAAACCACGGGGGGGCAAAAUGAGAGACUACGAAACCACAGGGGGUUUUUGAAGUUUUUCCUAUU
rnacentral:lncRNA from 1 species